rnacentral:lncRNA from 1 species
UUUUUGAAAAACUUGUUUAUUUUCAUUAUUAAGCCCAAACUCAUUGAAAAUCACACAAGAACGCUUAGAUGAGAUGAUACGAGUUUAUUUUCUUAUGUUUCUUUUGUAAAUUUCUAUUUUGUUUUUGAAUAAUUCUGAUACACCUACUGUGUAUUUUAAUUGUUUUAUUCGUUUUGUAUAUUUAUGUAUUUGCCAUUAAAAAAAAAUAGUCUUUUAUAAUUUAACUAAUUAAAAUGCCGGAUUCGAUCCCUCGACAUGGCAUCAUUCAAUGUUUCUAGUUUUUUUUUCCUCUUAUAAUUAAUACAGUAAUUUUUUAUCCCCUUUUGUUUGAGUAAUAUGUGUUGUAUUAGAUUUUAAGUUCAGAUUAUAUAAGAGAAAUUUUUUUGUAUUGAUUUUAUUUUAUUGUUUUUUUAAUCAAGAUUUUAUUUUAUUGUUAUCAAUUCAAAUUAUAUUUUUUCCUUGAUCCUUUUAGUGUGAGCUUUUUCGUUCAACCCUAUUGGUACUCAAGAAUUUUGUUGAGUGUCAGUACAAACAAAAAAUAAUUCAAAAUUUAAAUAAUUGUAAAUAAUAUUGAAUUUCAUAUCCAACAAAAUUCUUACCCUCACGUGUAGUGUUGUAGGUUUUUUUUUUUUUUGCUUCAAAUACCCUUUAUCUUGAAAAAACUAAAGUUCAAAGGCAAAACAAGAUAAAGAUGGAAUUAGCUCCGAUUCUAAAAGCUUAAAGUGUGUUUGAAUGAGAAAUUCUAGAAAAUUCAAGGUAUUUUAAAAUACUAGGCAAUUCAAUUGAUACAAUUUUUGAGUUUUUGACCGGUUUUAAGGUUCAGGCCGGGUUUAGGGUCAAUUUUAGUGUUUCAGGUCAAUUUUAGAUUUUUCUACCGAUUAUAUUGGGUUCUAGUCGGGUUUAGUGUCGAUUUUAGGAUUUUCGGCCGAUUUUAGGGUUUAUAUCCGAUUUUAUGAUUUUUGACAUAUUUCGGAGCUUCGGCGUUGACUGUGGUGGUCCGGCGUUGACUUUUUUAAACUAUAGUUUUUUUUAAUUAAAUUAUUUAAAAAUUCAUUUUUUUUCCAAAAUAUUAAUAUAUUAUAUUUAAAUCAAAUUAGAAAUACAAGAGAAUUGUCAAUUCUCUCUAAUUAGGUGUCAUUUUAAAAUUUCUCAUUUUUGAAAGGAACAAAUCCUUUUCAAAAUAGUUGGAAUUUCACAAAUCCUUUAAAUUUAAUUUUAUCCAAACAAUGAAUUUUAACUCAAAUUAUUUUAAUUAUUUCAAAACAUUACUUUUCCUCAUAAAAAUCCCUCGGUCAAACACACUCUUAGUCUCUUUCUUCUUCGGAAUUCUAUUAAGAUUUUAGUUGAGCAUAUAUAUAUAUAGGGUCAGGNNNNNNNNNNNNNNNNNNNNNNNNNNNNNNNNNNNNNNNNNNNNNNNAAUAACGUUUUAAUCGAUAUGAAUUUUAUAAAAUUCACCGCUGGAUUGAAAGUUUAUAUCGUAUAGAUUAUUUAUUUAAAAUUUCAGACAGAUCCAAAAUCAUUUGAUAUGUUAUUGACAUACAUCAAAAUUAACGGUUUGUGUUUUUUUUUAUAUGUCGUUAACCUUUAUGUGUCGCAAUAGCAUAUCAAAUGAUUUUGGAUUUGUCUGAAAGUUUUACAUAAAUGAUCUAUAUGAUAUAAACUUUCGAUCCAACGGUAAAUUUUAUAAAAUUUAUAUAAGUGAAAACGUUAUUGAGAGGUGUAACAUUUGGUGUCAAACUAGUUGGUGUCAUUUGAUCCUGACCCAUAUAUAUAUAUGAGGAGGGAUCCGUUGACUCAAGGAGUAAGCCCCCAUUGACUUAUUCCGCUUAAUAACUUAAUAUCGGCAUUAUAUUUUUUCAAUUUAACCGUUGAAUUCAAAUAUCUCAUUGAGUAGAUAAAUCCACGAAUUUUUAUAUAGACAAAACUCAUUGGGAACCAUGAUAUGUCCAAUGGUUUAAUGCGAAUCUACGGCUAAAAUCUUCGACAAAUAGGAAAAUUUGUUCCUCGUACGAACCCUUGUCUAGUGCUUGCCUGAAUGCCUUCUAUGCUAUUGCUAUGUAUGAAAAAACAUUGAACAGCAGCAGUAGCACAUACUAUAUAUCAUCAUUCAUCAAGUAUAAUAAGGAAAUUUAUUUAUAAAUAAAUAAGUCCGUGAGUGUUCGAGCGCUGCCAUCAACUAUGGAGAGAAUCAUCUUUAAAAAUUUAAAGGUGUGUGUUGUGAAUUCGUCGUAAAAUCACACCAAUAAAAGAACUUGAUGUGUGGAGCAAUAGAACGGCAACCAAUAAUUAAGUGGAAUAAGCAAUAAUAAUAAUAACCGAUAAAAGAUAAAGGAGAAGAAAGAACNNNNNNNNNNNNNNNNNNNNNNNNNNNNNNNNNNNNNNNNNNNNNNNNNNNNNNNNNNNNNNNNNNNNNNNNNNNNNNNNNNNNNNNNNNNNNNNNNNNNNNNNNNNNNNNNNNNNNNNNNNNNNNNNNNNNNNNNUCUUUACAAAUUUAACAUAAAUAAUAAUAUAUUAUAUAAGGUUUACAAAUUUUUUUAUAACUUCGCUAACGUUGUUUUCUUUCAUUUUUUGUUGAGAUUUAGAAGGUCGUCUAAUUUUAUGGUGAAUAUUUCAGUAUCCAAUUUACAUUAUUGGUUAUUGCAGCAAAAUUUAAUGUUAUGUUAUAUUUUUGUAUUAAUUUAUAUUUAAAAAAUUUAUAUUUUAAAUAAGUUUUACCUAAAAAAUACACAUAUUUAACAAUAUAGGUUUCUUUUUUGACGGUUUGGUUCAAAAAAAAAAGUUUCUAUUUUGACGAAAAAAAAACUUAUAUUGUUAAAUAUAAGUUGAGUACUUAAGAAUUUACAUAUUUUUAUAUUAAAACAAAAAAGAGAAGACUAAUAAGGUCAUGAAGUUAAAACUUGGGCUAUUAAGUUCAUGAAGUUAAAGGCCCAAAUGAGUUAGGAAACCUAAAUAUUAGUAAUAAGUACUACACGGCAUCACUUUGAACUCUCUAGUUUCUACCGUGGCCGCCGUUUCUUGUUCCAUUUGCUUGUUCAUUUAUUCUGCACAUUACUUCUUCUUCUUUUCUAUUUUAGUGCAUUUUCAUCUUCUAUUUUCUUCUAUGUUUGUUCUUCUCUUGGAUAUGUUGAAUUCAGGGUGUGCAAAAACAAAAUUUCAGGGGGUUCAAGAUGCAAAAAUCAUAGUAUUAUACGUGUAAUUUUGAAAAUCUCAGGGUGUGCAGCUGCACCCCCUCACCUUAACCUGACUCCGCCCCUGGGCAGCACAUACUAUAUAUCAUCAUUCAUCAAGUAUAAUAAGGAAAUUUAUUUAUAAAUAAAUAAGUCCGUGAGUGUUCGAGCGCUGCCAUCAACUAUGGAGAGAAUCAUCUUUAAAAAUUUAAAGGUGUGUGACAUGGUUAAUAGAUAACUAAGGACAAAAGUACUUAAGUAUAUACUAAUCAAUAUGUUGAUUGCAUAUUUAAUGUAUUUUGUCUAUAUUAUGGAACAAAUAAAUUAAAUAUACAAUGAACUUAGAAAAUAUAUUUUUACUUAUAAAAUGUUACUGAGGGUGUACAUAUAUAAGAACAAGAAAAUCAAUCAUUUAAAUAAAUUUAUGUAGAGUCUUGUUAACACGUGCUCUUAUACUUUUAUUUUUGGCUUCGUCUGAAGCUAAUUUUCCGUCUUUGUUGUCCAAAAACCACCAAAUGUGUAACUAAUUUAUUUACUGUAGAUUAAGGUAGUACAAUUUAUUUGUUAUUGUUGUUCGUUAUUCUCUUUUUUUUAUCAUACCCAUGGCCGUGGAACAUGAACUGAUGAUGAUGGCCUAAUAUUGUUGAAUGUUUGGUUAAAUUAUUUGAUGAAUUCUUUGAGCGGUUUAAAUUGAUUUAUUUUAAGCUUAUGUAAAUAUAAUUAAGUCGUUAUUUAACUUAUAUUAAUGUUUGGGUAAAUUAAUAAAAAAAAUGUUUAUCACAAUUUUAUAACUUAUUUAUGUCAUAUUUUAAUAAACUCUUAUAAUAUUCUUAUCGUUGGGCUUGACAUGGAGCUUAUGAAAAUGGUUCCCGCUUCAAAUCUCGCCUGCUCCAUUUUACAUAAUAUUAACAUAUUUUUAAAAAUUUAUUUUUUGAGUCAAUCUUAAAUUUAUUUUCUUGUUUUUUAAGGUUAUUUUUUUUCUUUACACUUAUCUUUCUAAAGAUAUCCCACUUUUUUUUUUAUAAUUUAUCUUUUUUAGUCAAUAUUAAAUUUAUCUAUUUUUAUGCAAAGUCAAUCUUAAAUUUAUAAUUGCUUAUGUGAUGAGACAUCCAAAUACUUCAUUUUAUGUACAUACUUUUUAACGAAUAUAUCCAAACGUAAAUAGUGUAUUAAGCAUAAUAGCUUAUGACGUAAGCUCUCGUAUGUGAAGUUAUGAUACUAUAAGUAUUCGUAUAAGUUGUUUAUCCAAACAUGCUAUUGAUUUAAGACUUAUAAAUGAUAGUAGUUUCCGUAAAUAUUGUACUAUCGGUUACGUGAUAUGGUUUAUUAAGCUAAGUAGGUACACCUUCCGUGACAAUAUAUAAGAAAAAAUUAACUUUUUAGAUUCAUUGCAUAUUUAAUGUAUCUGAUCUAUAUCAUAAACCUAGAAAAUUAUUUUUCGCUUAUAUAUUAUUAUCACGGAGGGAGGGAGUAUGUGUCAUGGAUUAUUUAUCAUAAAUGCUAGCUUAUCGGUUAACGGAAAUGCUCAAUUGAUGACUCUUAGAAUUUAGGGUGAACUUUGCUAAACUUUACGAAACUACAGUAGUUUGUAAAGUGAGAUUUACUUACUAAAAAUACAUUUUGGACUAACAACACUUCAAAGAUGCUCUAACAUAUCAUAGCGGGGACAGAUCUAUGGGGGUAUCGCAUUAUAUAUACAUAAACUGAUGUUUGAAUUCUGAACACUCCACUUAUUUACAUUUAUGGUGGAAUUUCUAGCUACUAGACUACUAGAACAAAAAAAAUAUUGAUCAACAAUAGGGUAGUGAAUAUUUUCACAAAAGAGGGGUUUGUAGUGAAAUUUAAAUAUCUCUUUAAAAAAAAAGAGGAGUGUAAUUUACUCAAGUUCUUAUUGUAGACUACUCUACAUUAUUUUAUAAAAUUUGAAAAUUCAUUGAAGAACUUCAAUUGAAUUUCUUGAGACAAAAUUGAUAUGCAGAAAGAACCUCGAGUAUAUGCUUUAAAGUACAAAUAAUAAUUGCUGGUUACAUGUGGUCAAAAUAAAAUGUUGUUGAUUACACAAUCACAUAGCUAAAAUUGUCGAGAACUCAUAUGAACUGUGUUUGAUCACAAAUAAAAAAGUAAUCUUGCUAAUUAGUUCUUCUGGAACACUAAUUUUUUUUUAUCAAGGAACACUAGUUUUUUUUUUUUUUUUUUUUNNNNUUUUUUACGCAAAACACUAGUUAAAAUAACAAAAAAAGUUAUUUUAUAUUGAAAACAACACUGUAUUUUGGAUAUUUUUAAGACUUUUCACUACACAAAUUUCAACGUACUAUUUAGUAUUUACUAUAUUUGUAUUUCUUAACUAAUGCCCCAAUGGCACUAGUUAGCAUUUUUCUAAUUACGAGAUUUAACAAUUGAAUAAGUGAAAUCCAAUGAUUUUAAUAUUUUAUUAAGCCCUACUAAGAUAAAUGUGUUGGGAUUCCUCGAGCUUAAAAUGUAAAUGUCACAGGGAAAAGAAAGGAAUGUGCUAUCCCAAACCACCAAAAUGAUUGAAAACUAACAUCAGAAUAGUUAAAAUCAUUAGCAAAAAAAANNNNNNNNNNNNNNNNNUAGUUCAAAAAUCAUUCACCAUGUUACAAAUACGGAAUUGAUAAGUUUAUAUCCAAUCACAGUAUCAGCUGUUUGUGCAAGUCAAAUUAUUCAUGGAGAACAGGUAAGUAUUUUAAACUACUGGAUUUAGCUAUGAAGCCUCGGAGGUCUUCGCUUCUAUGGGACAUUGGGAUACAUAUGGUUUGAGCUGCAAAAACGACGAAUAGUACAAAUCAGUAAUAGCAAACAUAUAUACUACAGUCAUGAUAGUUUUUAAUCUUAUUGUUUGAGAAACUCUCCUCUCUUUUGCUUUCCCUCCUCUUCCCCCAAAACCCUUCCCCUCCAAACUCCCAAAACCCUUUGCUACCCUCAUCUCCAAAUUCACAAAAAUCCUAAACACAUAAGCAUUUGUAAAAGCAAAUGAUCUUGUACAUAGCUCAUAGUAAUUUAUAUUGAGAUGAACGCUUUCUUUGCCUCCUAACCAAUAGGAAUGAUCUUGUGUGUUAUAUUAUAUGAACUCUUUCAUUGACAUUAAAUGAUUAUUG